AGUGACAGAGUGAGGAAGCGGGUGACACAGUGACAGAGUUAGGGAGGGAGUGACUAGUGACAGAGAGAGGGAUGGGGUGACUAGUGACAGUCACCACCUCCCUCACUCUGUCACUAGUCACCACCUCCCUCACUGUGUCACCCACUCCCUCCCUCACUCUGUCACUAGUCACCCCUUCCUUCCCUCUGUCACUAGUCACCCCUUCCCUCACUCUGUCACCU